CUGACCUUAGAGGUAAGUGCCU
rnacentral:snRNA from 1 species